GACGAACGCUGGCGGCGUGCUUAACACAUGCAAGUCGAACGGAAAGGCCCUGCUUUUGUGGGGUGCUCGAGUGGCGAACGGGUGAGUAACACGUGAGUAACCUGCCCUUGACUUUGGGAUAACUUCAGGAAACUGGGGCUAAUACCGGAUAGGAGCUCCUGCUGCAUGGGGGGGGUUGGAAAGUUUCGGCGGUUGGGGAUGGACUCGCGGCUUAUCAGCUUGUUGGUGGGGUAGUGGCUUACCAAGGCUUUGACGGGUAGCCGGCCUGAGAGGGUGACCGGCCACAAUGGGACUGAGAUACGGCCCAGACUCCUACGGGAGGCAGCAGUGGGGAAUAUUGCACAAUGGGCGGAAGCCUGAUGCAGCAACGCCGCGUGCGGGAUGACGGCCUUCGGGUUGUAAACCGCUUUCGCCUGUGACGAAGCGUGAGUGACGGUAAUGGGUAAAGAAGCACCGGCUAACUACGUG
rnacentral:rRNA from 1 species